rnacentral:rRNA from 1 species
UACGUAGGGGGCAAGCGUUGUCCGGAUUUAUUGGGCGUAAAGAGCGUGUAGGCGGCUUGGUAGGUCCGCUGUGAAAACUCGAGGCUCAACCUCGAGAUGUCGGCGGAAACCACUUGGCUAGAGUCCGGAAGAGGAGAGUGGAAUUCCCGGUGUAGCGGUGAAAUGCGCAGAUAUCGGGAAGAACACCUAUGGCGAAGGCAGCUUCUUGGUCCACAUCUGACGCUCAUGCACGAAAGCGUGGGGAGCAAACAGG